rnacentral:rRNA from 2 species
UGAGGAAUUUUGCGCAAUGGGGGAAACCCUGACGCAGCAACGCCGCGUGAGUGAUGAAGGCCUUCGGGUCGUAAAGCUCUGUCAGGCGGGAAGAAAGUGUUUCAUGUGAAUAACAUGAGAUAUUGACGGUACCGCCGAAGGAAGCACCGGCUAACUCCGUGCCAGCAGCCGCGGUAAUACGGAGGGUGCAAGCGUUAUUCGGAUUUAUUGGGCGUAAAGGGCGCGCAGGCUGCCUGUUAAGUCAGAUGUGAAAGCCCCCGGCUUAACCGGGGAAGUGCAUUUGAAACUGACAGGCUUGAGUAUGGGAGAGGAAAUCGGAAUUCCUGGUGUAGCGGUGAAAUGCGUAGAUAUCAGGAGGAACACCGGUGGCGAAAGCGGAUUUCCGGACCAAUACUGACGCUGAGGCGCGAAGGUGCGGGGAGCAAACA